UACGAAGGGGGCUAGCGUUGUUCGGAAUCACUGGGCGUAAAGCGCACGUAGGCGGAUUCUUAAGUCGGUGGUGAAAGCCUGGAGCUCAACUCCAGAACUGCCUUCGAUACUGAGAGUAUUGAGUCCGGGAGAGGUGAGUGGAACUGCGAGUGUAGAGGUGAAAUUCGUAGAUAUUCGCAAGAACACCAGUGGCGAAGGCGGCUCACUGGCCCGGUACUGACGCUGAGGUGCGAAAGCGUGGGGAGCAAACAGG
rnacentral:rRNA from 1 species